GGAGUGGUGGCCGAGUGGUCGAAGGCGCUCCCCUGCUAAGGGAGUAUGCGGCUUAAACCGUAUCGAGGGUUCGAAUCCCUUCCACUCCGCCA
rnacentral:tRNA from 3 species